rnacentral:rRNA from 1 species
UACGGGGGGGGCAAGCGUUGUUCGGAAUUACUGGGCGUAAAGGGCUCGUAGGCGGCCAACUAAGUCAGACGUGAAAUCCCUCGGCUUAACCGGGGAACUGCAUCUGAUACUGGAUGGCUUGAAUUCGGGAGAGGGAUGCGGAAUUCCAGGUGUAGCGGUGAAAUGCGUAGAUAUCUGGAGGAAUACCGGUGGCGAAGGCGGCAUCCUGGACCGAGAUUGACACUGAUGAGCGAAAGCCAGGGGAGCAAACGGG